UCUCGGCGAACAUUCAACGCUGUCGGUGAGUUUUGCUUGUGGAGAAACCAUCGAACGUUGAGUGUGCCUUGAGU
rnacentral:pre_miRNA from 1 species